rnacentral:piRNA from 2 species
UAGAAGGCUGGUGAUAAGAGUAGGAACUCC